rnacentral:rRNA from 1 species
AGAGUUUGAUCCUGGCUCAGAACGUACGCUGGCGGCACGCCUAAUACAUGCAAGUCGAACGAAGUAGCAAUACUUAGUGGCAGACGGGUGAGUAACAUGUGGGUAUCUUCCCUUUGGUGAGGAAUAACACGAGGAAACUUGUGCUAAUACCUCAUAAGUCUUUACGGAGAAAGCUUUAUGCGCCAUUGGAUGAGCCCGCACUUGAUUAGUUUGUUGGUGGGGUAAUGGCCUACCAAGACUGUGAUCAAUAGCUGAUUUGAGAGGAUGAUCAGCCACAUUGGGACUGAGACACGGCCCAAACUCCUACGGGAGGCAGCAGUAGGGAAUCUUGCACAAUGGAGGAAACUCUGAUGCAGCGAUGCCGCGUGAGUGAAGAAGGCCUUUGGGUUGUAAAGCUCUUUCGUCGGGGAAGAAAAUGACUGUACCCGAAUAAGAAGGUCCGGCUAACUUCGUGCCAGCAGCCGCGGUAAUACGAAGGGACCUAGCGUAGUUCGGAAUUACUGGGCUUAAAGAGUUCGUAGGUGGUUAAAAUAGUUGGUGGUGAAAUCCCAGAGCUUAACUCUGGAACUGCCAUCAAAACUUUUUAGCUAGAGUAUGAUAGAGGAGAGCAGAAUUUCUAGUGUAGAGGUGAAAUUCGUAGAUAUUAGAAAGAAUACCAAUUGCGAAGGCAGCUUUCUGGAUCAUUACUGACACUGAGGAACGAAAGCAUGGGUAGCGAAGAGGAUUAGAUACCCUCGUAGUCCAUGCCGUAAACGAUGUGUGUUAGACGUUGGAAAUUUAUUUUCAGUGUCGCAGCGAAAGCGAUAAACACACCGCCUGGGGAGUACGACCGCAAGGUUAAAACUCAAAUGAAUUGACGGGGACCCGCACAAGUAGUGGAGCAUGUGGUUUAAUUCGAAGAUACGCGCAGAACCUUACCAACACUUGACAUGUUCGUCGCGACUCUAAGAGAUUAGAGUUUUCGGUUCGGCCGGACGAAACACAGGUGCUGCAUGGCUGUCGUCAGCUCGUGUCGUGAGAUGUUGGGUUAAGUCCCGCAACGAGCGCAACCCUCACUUUUAGUUGCCAUCAUUAAGUUGGGCACUCUGAAAGAACUGCCAGUGAUAAGCUGGAGGAAGGUGGGGAUGACGUCAAGUCCUCAUGGCCCUUACGUGUUGGGCUACACACGUGCUACAAUGGCAUCUACAACAGGAAGCAAAACGGCAACGUUAAGCAAAUCCCGAAAAGAUGCCUCAGUUCGGAUUGCACUCUGCAACUCGAGUGCAUGAAGCUGGAAUUACUAGUAAUCGCGGAUCAGCGCGCCGCGGUGAAUACGUUCCCGGGUCUUGUACACACCGCCCGUCACACCAUGGGAGUUGGUUCUACCUUAAGGCAAAGUUUAAAACCUUUGACCACGGUAUAGUCAGCGACUGGGGUGAAGUCGUAACAAGGUAACC